UACGAAGGGGGCUAGCGUUGCUCGGAAUGACUGGGCGUAAAGGGCGCGUAGGCGGUUUGUACAGUCAGGUGUGAAAUUCCCGGGCUCAACCUGGGGGCUGCACUUGAUACGUAUGGACUGGAGUGGGGAAGAGGGUCGUGGAAUUCCUAGUGUAGAGGUGAAAUUCGUAGAUAUUAGGAAGAACACCGGUGGCGAAGGCGGCCCACUGGUCCGGUACUGACGCUGAGGUGCGAAAGCGUGGGGAGCAAACAGG
rnacentral:rRNA from 1 species